rnacentral:rRNA from 1 species
AAUUAGGGAAGUUGUGACUAGUCUUUUUAGAGACCCUGAAAACUCUAAGUUUGGAGUUAUUAUCAUUCUCAAUGUGCUUUAGCUCCUAGAAAGGUCACUAACUUGGGACUUGACAUAUGUUCCUCAACCAUUUUACAACAUUAUAUUCAUACCCUUUUUCCUAAACCUAGUUGUGUCCAUAAGAAAAUUCAGUUAUUAGAAACCCAUCCUCUGGUUGAUGUGGUUAACCCCGGCUACGAUACCUCAAUUGAAUUUGUUUUCCCACCAAAAAAAAUUCUCCAAUAGUGGGAACUUAUGAAAUUCAAAAGUGUCAGAUAUUAAAGCACAUUCUCCAUUGCACAUGGUGGAAACUAAACACGAGGGUUGCGCUCGUUGCGGGACUUAACCCAACACCUUACGACACGAGCUGACGACAGCCAUGCACCACUUGUAUCCGCGUUCCCGAAGGCACCCCUCUCUUUCAAGAGGAUUCGCGACAUGUCAAGCCCUGGUAAGGUUCUUCACUUUGCAUCGAAUUAAACCACAUGCUCCACCGCUUGUGCGGGCCCCCGUCAUUUCCUUUGAGUUUCAUUCUUGCGAACGUACUCCCCAACGGGAUACUUAACGCGUUAGCUACAACACUGCACGGGUCGAUACGCACAACGCCUAGUAUCCAUCGUUUACGGCUAGGACUACUGGGGUAUCUAAUCCCAUUCGCUCCCCUAGCUUUCGUCUCUCAGUGUCGGCCCAGCAGAAUGCUUUCGCCGUUGGUGUUCUUCCCGAUCUCUACGCAUUUUACCGCUCCACCAGAAAUUCCCUCUGCCUCUACCUUAAUCCAGCUUGGUAGUUUCCACCGCCUGUCCAGGGUUGAGCCCUGGGAUUUGCAGUGGACUUGAAAAGCCACCUACAGACGCUUUACGCCAUAUCAUUCCGGAUAACGCUUGCAUCCCAAGAUACCGUCAUUGCUUCUUCUCCGGGAAAAGUAGUUCAUGACCCGUGGGCCUUCUACCUCCACGCGGCAUUGCUCCGUCAGGCUUUCGCCCAUUGCGUAAAAUUCCCCACUGCUUCCUCCCAUAGGAGUCUGGGCCGUGUCUCAAUCCUAGUGUGGCUGAUCAUCCUCUCGGACCAGCUACUGAUCAUCGCCUUGGUAAGAUAUUUCCUCACCAACUAGCUAAUCAGACGCGAGCCCCUCCUCGGGCCGAUUCCUCCUUUUUCUCCUCAGCCUACGGGGUAUUAGCAUCCGUUUCCAGCUGUUGUUCCCCUCCCAAGGGCAGGUUCUUACCCGUUACUCACCCGUCCACCACUGGAAACACCACUUCCCGUCCGACUUGCAUGUGUUAAGCAAUCCGUAUCUUUUCGUCCACGGAGGGUGAGUCAGGGCCUAAGAUCAGGCCGAAAGGCGUAGUCGAUGGACAACAAGUGAAUAUUCCUGUACUACCCCUUGUUGGUACCGAGGGACGGAGGAGGCUAGGUUAGCCGAAAGAUGGUUAUCGGUUCAAGGACGCAAGGUGACCUUAGGGUAAGAAAAGGUAGAGAAAAUACCUUAAGCCAAUGUCUGAGUGCUAGGCGCUACGACGCUGAAGUAACUCAUUCCAUACUCCUAGGAAAAGCUCGAACGACCUUCAACAAAAGGGUACCUGUACCCGAAACAGACACAGGUGGGUAGCUAGAGAAUACCUAGGGGAGCGAGACAAGUCUCUCUAAGGAACUCGGAAAAAUAGCCUCGUAACUUCGGGAGAAGGGGUGCCUCCUCACAAAGAGGGUCGCAGUGACCAGGCCCGGACGACUGUUAACCAAAAACACAGGUCUCCGCAAAGUCGUAAGACCAUGUACGGGGGCUAACGCUUGUCCAGUGACGGAAGGUCAAGGAAGUUGGUGACCUGAUGACAGGGAAGUCGGCGACCGAAGCCCCGAUGAACGGCGACCGUAACUAUAACGGUCCUAAGGUAGCGAAAUUUCUUGUCGGGUAAGUUCUGACCCGCACGAAAGGCGUAACGAUCUGGGCACUGUCUCGAAGAGAGGCUCGGUGAAAUAGACAUGUCUGUGGAGAUGCGGACUACCUGCACCUGGACAGAAAGACCCUAUGAAGCUUUACUGUUCCCUGGGAUUGGCUUUGGGCUUUUCCUGCGCAUCUUAGGUGGAAGGCGAAGAAGGCCUCCUUCCGGGGGGCCCGAGCCAUCAUUGAGAUACCACUGGAAGAGCUAGAAUUCUAACCUUGUGCCAGGACCUACUAGCCAAGGGACAGUCUCAGGUGGACAGUUUCUAUGGGGCGUAGGCCUCCCAAAAGGUAAGGGAGGCGUGCAAAGGUUUCCUCGGGACGGACGAAGAUUGGCCCUCGAGUGCAAAGGCAGAAGGGAGCUUGACUGCAAGACCGACCCGUCGAGCAGGGACGAAAGUUUACCUUAGUGAUCCGACGGUUUCGAGUGGAAGGGUCGUCGCUCAACGGAUAAAAGUUACUUUAGGGAUAACAAGCUGAUCUUCCCCAAGAGUUCACAUCGACGAGAAGGUUUUCACCUCGAUAUCGGCUCUUCGCCACUUAGGGUUGUAGUAUGUUCCAAGGGUUGGGUUGUUCCCCCAUUAAAACGGUACAUGAGCUGGGUUCAGAACGUCGUGAGACAAUUCGGUCCAUAUCCGGUGUGGGCGUUAGAGCAUUGAGAGGACCUUUCCCUAGUACGAGAGGACCGGGAAGGACGCACCUCUGGUGUACCAGUUAUCGUGCCCACGGUAAACGCUGGGUAGCCAAGUACGGAGCGGAUAACUUAUGAAAGCAUCUAAGUAGUAAUCCCACCCCAAGAUGAGUGUUCUCCUAUUCCGACUUCCCCAAAGCCUCCGGUAGCACAGCCGAGAUAGCGACGGGUUCUCUUCCCCUGCGGGGAUGGAGCGACAUAAGUUUUGAGAAUCCAAGAGAAGGUCACGGCGAGACGAUCCGUUUAUCAUUACGAUAGGUGUCAAGUGGAAGUGCAGUGAUAUAUGUAGCUGAGGCAUCCUAACAGACCGAUAGACUUGAAC